rnacentral:rRNA from 1 species
GACGAACGCUGGCGGCGUGCUUAACACAUGCAAGUCGAGCGGUAAGGCCCUUUCGGGGGUACACGAGCGGCGAACGGGUGAGUAACACGUGGGUGACCUGCCCUCAGCUCUGGGAUAAGCCUGGGAAACCGGGUCUAAUACUGGAUAUGACUCCAUGACGCAUGUUGUGGGGUGGAAAGCCUUGUGCGGCUGAGGAUGGGCCCGCGGCCUAUCAGCUUGUUGGUGGGGUGANGGCCUACCAAGGCGACGACGGGUAGCCGGCCUGAGAGGGCGACCGGCCACACUGGGACUGGAGACACGGCCCAGACUCCUACGGGAGGCAGCAGUGGGGAAUCUUGCGCAAUGGGCGAAAGCCUGACGCAGCGACGCCGCGU